GACAGAGGUGCCGAGCGUUAGGCGGAAUCACUGGGCUUAAAGCGUGUGUAGGCGGACGUCUAAGUACCUUGUGAAAUCCCACGGCUCAACCGUGGAACGGCUUGGUAUACUGGGCGUCUUGAGCCACUUAGGGGUCGUCGGAACAAGCGGUGGAGCGGUGAAAUGCGUAGAUAUCAGGAGGAACACCGGUGGCGAAGGCGGGUCUCUGGGCCGUAACUGACGCUGAGGAGCGAAAGCGUGGGGAGCGAACAGG
rnacentral:rRNA from 1 species